GAUUUGGGGGCGUUCAUAGGUUUCAUGGGUCUUGUGGGUUUUUCUCUUCUUCCUCAGUGAGGAGAGGAAAAUGAAGCUGCCGGGUGCCACACCCCAGGUCGAGUGAACACCCACCCCCAUAGAGACCCACCCCCAUAGCCUGGAGGCUGGAGACUCGGAGGUUCCUCCAUCAUCAACGCGGCUGAUUUCCACAGUCUCCGAGCCUGUCAAUUGGAAAUGGAUCCAAUCCAUCGGCUUGUUUUUCAUUCCGUGGGGGGUUACAUACCUGGCAUUGCUCAGGGCUGACUCCUGACUCUGUGCUCAAGGAUCACUCCUGGUGGGGCUCAGAGGACCCUGUCUCAUGCUGGGGCUUG